rnacentral:lncRNA from 1 species
AGAACUCACUGCUGUCAUUGCUCUUGUCUUGUAGAUAAGAAACUGAGGCACAGACUGGUUAGCAACAUGCUCAAAGGAAACAGCAUUUUGUAAGUGAUGGAACCAACAUUCAAGCCUGAGAACCCAACUCACAAGAUGUGUUCACAGGAAAAGAGACCACAGCGUGGGUUUGUGGCGAGGACCUUCCCAGCUUUCAGGAUGUCCUGCGCUGGAAGAUACACGAAUAUGUCCCAAGGCAUGACAAGACCACUAGUUUAAAGUGCCUGGAGCUAAAACAGAACUGGAGAUUUUGACCUUCAAAAACUGGAGUAGAAGGUAAUGCCAUGAUCUAAUUUAAAGAAAUAAAUUACCCGUUAUUUGGAGAAGUUGACUGUGAGAUAACCCAGAAUUGUGUUAAGAUCAUGUU